CAGGGGGGGGUGCCUUAUACAUGCAAGUCGAACGAACUCUGGUAUUGAUUGGUGCUUGCAUCAUGAUUUACAUUUGAGUGAGUGGCGAACUGGUGAGUAACACGUGGGAAACCUGCCCAGAAGCGGGGGAUAACACCUGGAAACAGAUGCUAAUACCGCAUAACAACUUGGACCGCAUGGUCCGAGCUUGAAAGAUGGCUUCGGCUAUCACUUUUGGAUGGUCCCGCGGCGUAUUAGCUAGAUGGUGGGGUAACGGCUCACCAUGGCAAUGAUACGUAGCCGACCUGAGAGGGUAAUCGGCCACAUUGGGACUGAGACACGGCCCAAACUCCUACGGGAGGCAGCAGUAGGGAAUCUUCCACAAUGGACGAAAGUCUGAUGGAGCAACGCCGCGUGAGUGAAGAAGGGUUUCGGCUCGUAAAACUCUGUUGUUAAAGAAGAACAUAUCUGAGAGUAACUGUUCAGGUAUUGACGGUAUUUAACCAGAAAGCCACGGCUAACUACGUGCCAGCAGCCGCGGUAAUACGUAGGUGGCAAGCGUUGUCCGGAUUUAUUGGGCGUAAAGCGAGCGCAGGCGGUUUUUUAAGUCUGAUGUGAAAGCCUUCGGCUCAACCGAAGAAGUGCAUCGGAAACUGGGAAACUUGAGUGCAGAAGAGGACAGUGGAACUCCAUGUGUAGCGGUGAAAUGCGUAGAUAUAUGGAAGAACACCAGUGGCGAAGGCGGCUGUCUGGUCUGUAACUGACGCUGAGGCUCGAAAGUAUGGGUAGCAAACAGGAUUAGAUACCCUGGUAGUCCAUACCGUAAACGAUGAAUGCUAAGUGUUGGAGGGUUUCCGCCCUUCAGUGCUGCAGCUAACGCAUUAAGCAUUCCGCCUGGGGAGUACGGCCGCAAGGCUGAAACUCAAAGGAAUUGACGGGGGCCCGCACAAGCGGUGGAGCAUGUGGUUUAAUUCGAAGCUACGCGAAGAACCUUACCAGGUCUUGACAUACUAUGCAAAUCUAAGAGAUUAGACGUUCCCUUCGGGGACAUGGAUACAGGUGGUGCAUGGUUGUCGUCAGCUCGUGUCGUGAGAUGUUGGGUUAAGUCCCGCAACGAGCGCAACCCUUAUUAUCAGUUGCCAGCAUUAAGUUGGGCACUCUGGUGAGACUGCCGGUGACAAACCGGAGGAAGGUGGGGAUGACGUCAAAUCAUCAUGCCCCUUAUGACCUGGGCUACACACGUGCUACAAUGGAUGGUACAACGAGUUGCGAACUCGCGAGAGUAAGCUAAUCUCUUAAAGCCAUUCUCAGUUCGGAUUGUAGGCUGCAACUCGCCUACAUGAAGUCGGAAUCGCUAGUAAUCGCGGAUCAGCAUGCCGCGGUGAAUACGUUCCCGGGCCUUGUACACACCGCCCGUCACACCAUGAGAGUUUGUAACACCCAAAGUCGGUGGGGUAACCUUUUAGGAACCAGCCGCCUAAGGGACCAAA
rnacentral:rRNA from 1 species